rnacentral:tRNA from 4 species
GGGCGAUUAGCUCAGGGGUAGAGCGCUACAUUGACAUUGUAGAAGUCACUGGUUCAAAUCCAGUAUCGCCCA